UCCAGGUGCAAAGUGGGAAGUGUGAGUCCUCAGUCUUGGGCUAUUCGGCCACGUGCCUGCCGGACAUGGGACGCUGGAGGGUCAGCAGCGUGGAGUCCUGGCCUUUUGCGUCCACGGGUGGGAAAUUGGCCAUUGCCACGGCGGGAACUGGGACUCAGGCUGCCUCCCGGCCGUUUCUCAUCAGUCCACUGGACUCGUGGGCGCUCGCACUGGCGCUGAUGUAGUUUCCUGACCUCUGACCCGUAUUGUCUCCAGAUUAAAGGUACGACAUUUGGAGGCCCCAGCGAGAAACGCCACCGGGCGAGAGCCGGGCCCGCUGUGUGCUCCCCCGGAAGGACAGCCAGCUUGUAGGGGGGAGCGCCACCUGAAAAAAAAUUUCCAGGUCCCCAAAGGGUGACCGUCUUCCGGAGGACAGCGGAUCGACUACCAUGUGGGUGCCCACAAAAAUUCCACCUCUGAGUCCUCAACUGCUGACCCCGGGGUCAGAGUCUCACUCUGUUUCCCAGGCUGGAGUUCUGUGGCAUCGUGUUGGCUCACUGCAACCUCCAUCUCCUGGGUUCAAGCAAUUCUCUUGCCUCAGCCUCCAGAGUAGCUGGGAUUACAGGUGCCCACCACCACACCCGGCUAAUUUUUUUAUAUUUUUAGUAGACAUGGGGUUUCACCAUGUUGCCCAGUCCAGUCUCAAACUUCUGGCUCAAGCAGUCCUCCCGCC
rnacentral:lncRNA from 1 species